AUUGAACGCUGGCGGCAUGCCUUACACAUGCAAGUCGAACGGCAGCACGGGGCAACCUGGUGGCGAGUGGCGAACGGGUGAGUAAUGCAUCGGAACGUACCUUUCAGUGGGGGAUAACGUAGCGAAAGUUACGCUAAUACCGCAUAUUCUGUGAGCAGGAAAGCAGGGGAUCGCAAGACCUUGCGCUGAUUGAGCGGCCGAUGUCAGACUAGCUAGUUGGUGAGGUAAAGGCUCACCAAGGCGACGAUCUGUAGCGGGUCUGAGAGGAUGAUCCGCCACACUGGAACUGGGACACGGUCCAGACUCCUACGGGAGGCAGCAGUGGGGAAUUUUGGACAAUGGGGGCAACCCUGAUCCAGCCAUGCCGCGUGAGUGAAGAAGGCCUUCGGGUUGUAAAGCUCUUUCGGCCGGGAAGAAAUCGCACGGGCUAAUACCCUGUGUGGAUGACGGUACCGGAAUAAGAAGCACCGGCUAACUACGUGCCAGCCGCCGCUGUAACAC
rnacentral:rRNA from 1 species